GGGGGUGAAAUUGGCUUCGACGGGAUUAUAUGAUCUUUGAAUUGCGCACCGUGUUUUCUGGAGACACGUUAAACGCCGGAAAAAAGUCGAAUUGACGACUAUAACUACGCUUUAGCUGCGUAAUUAAACUUACGUAGCCGUUCUCCAAAAUUCCUCGUACCGGGUUUUGGAAGAACGCCGAUCAGGUACGAUAGCAGAAGCGAGUGUCCGUGCAGCAGAAGCGAAUCCAUUUAACGGAAUAGUUUAAUUAAAUUCUGUUUGUUGAAGUUAAUUAAGCGAAUCUAAAAAACAGACUACGUGUGUAGAAGUUCAUCGAGCAGUAUUCUCGGACGCGGGUUCGACUCCCGCCACCUCCACCA
rnacentral:tmRNA from 1 species